rfam:Pseudogymnoascus sp. 23342-1-I1 unplaced genomic scaffold scaffold_61, whole genome shotgun sequence.
ACAUACGACCAUAGACUCAAGAGAAUUGGGCAUCCCGUCCGCUCUGCCAUACACAAGCUUGAGAUCGGUGGAUUAGUAGUUGGGUGGGUGACCACCAGCGAAUACCCACUGUUGUAUGUU